rnacentral:lncRNA from 1 species
UAAAUUUCGUCCCCAAGAACCUUUGAACGCUCACACGAACUCACAAGGAAAUAGCAAGAAAGACACUCGGUUUUGGGAGGCCCGAAGAGCCAAUUUUCAGAUUAUAUUUCUUGAAUAUUUGAAGUGUAUGAUCUGCCCAAGAGGGCCUUUACAAGAUAUAUAUAGUGCCCCUUAGUCAAGGAUACAAUAAAUGCUUAGUCAACAUUACCCCAUUUGGGCAUGCAAGCCAUGAACUAGUAGAAAAGCCUUUGUCUAGUAUGCUGUUUUUGUAGAGCAGCCACUGCCCAGCUGGUCAAGGCUUCAAAGCCGCAAAUACUUGUGGACCUUCUCCUUGAACGGCCACAAGUCUUCGUAUUUCUCCCACGACGCCUCCUCGGGUGAUUGUCCCUUCCAAUGGACUAGGAAUUGGGCACUUGAAUUGCCCCAACCUUUUCCUCGCACCAAUUGAUGAUCAAUGAUGUCCUCGAUUUGUUUAUCCGUGGCAGCGGACGUCAUGAAGAUUUGGGCCCGACUAGACUUACCCCGCUCCACGUCUUCCUUGUCUUCGAAGUAUGGUUUCAAUUUGCUUGCAUGGAAGACGGGAUAGAUCUUUAAAUGCGAUGGCAUGUCCAACUUAUAUGAAAUUUUGCCAACCUUGGCAACAAUCUCGAAUGGACCCUCGUACCUUCGGAUCAAACUUUGAUUGACGCUCCUCAAUGACUUGAAUUGCCUCGGAUUGAGCUUGACCAUCACUUUAUCUCCGAUUCGGUAGUGGACUGGACGGCGGCUGCGGUCAGCAAAUUUCUUCAUUUUGCGGGCUGCUUUGUCAAGAUACGACCUUGCCAUAUCGACUUGUUCCUCCCAAGCCUUUGCCAUAUGAUACGCACCCGGAUUCCUCAUUCCGGCGUUAACUGGCAAGGACUGUGGGGUGUUUGGUUGCUGCCCCGUUGCAAGCUCGAAUGGACUACGACCCGUGGACUCACUCCGUUGCAAGUUGUAUGAGAAUCGGGCCGUGUCGAGCCGCCGUGACCAGUCCCUUUGAUUGGCACUAACAAAGUGUCUCAAGUAGCACUCGAGUAACCCAUUUACUCGCUCCGUUUGUCCGUCGGUUUGGGGAUGAAAGCUGGUUGAAAAGUGCAGCUCCGACCCCAACAAACUGAAUAGCUCCUUCCAAAAUGCUCCCGUGAAUCGCGGGUCUCGAUCACUAAUGAUAUGCCUGGGCACGCCCCAAAGUUUAACCACGUCUUUGAGAAACAAUCGGGCUGCCUCCUUGGCUUUGCAAUUCGACGUGGCAGCUGAGAAUGUUGCAUAUUUGGAGAAGCGAUCAACGACAACCAUGAUUGUCCCGCAACCCUCCGAGUUAGGCAAACAGGUGAUAAAGUCCAUGGUGACACUGUCCCAUGGUUUCUCGGCAGUGGGCAGCGGCUCAAGUAAUCCACCGGGCGCCUUGUGUUCCAACUUGUCCUGUUGGCAAACAAGGCAAGUGCGAACGUAUACCACUAUGUCGUCCCUCAUACGAGGCCAAUAAUAAGCUGCUUCUAACAAAGCCAUAGUUCGUUUCUGUCCCGGAUAACCAGCCCACGUCGUGUCAUGGCCCUCCUUGAUCAACAAGCGCCUAAGAUUUUUCCAUCUAGGCACAUACACUCGCCUUCCGGUGGUGUAUAGCAGUCCGUCUUCUUCCCAAAACUUUUGGGUCUUGCCUUUGCGUGCCAAGUCAAGAAGUUGUUUGGCAACGGGAUCAUGUUCCAUCCCUUCUUUGAUGGUAUCCAGCACACCACAGCUGGUCGUGCUCAACAGUGCCGACAAAACAACCUUGCGGCUUAAUGCAUCGGCCACAACAUUUGCCUUUCCCGGUUUGUACUCCAACGAGUAAUCAAAUUCCGCCAAGAAGUCUUGCCAUCGAGCCUGCUUCGGCGAUAGUUUCUUUUGUGAUUGGAAGUAGCUGGUCGCUACAUUAUCCGUCUUGACAGCCUGCUUUGGCGAUAGUUUCUUUUGUGAUUGGAAGUAGCUGGUCGCUACGUUAUCCGUCUUGACAAUGAAGUGAGCUCCCAACAAAUAAUGACGCCAAGUCCUUAGGCAAUGGACGAUGGCCGUCAUCUCCUUUUCGUGGACUGUAUAGCGUCGCUCCGCUUCAUUCAAUUUUCUGCUUUCAAACGCUAUCGGAUGGCCCUCUUGGCUUAGGACACCACCAAUAGCAAAGUCGGAUGCAUCCGUUUGCACCUCAAACAGUUUCGUGAAGUCCGGUAAAGCCAAAACCGGUUCCUUGAUGAUGGCUGCCUUGAGGUUGUCGAAUGCCCCUUGACACGAACUAUUCCACUCCCAAGCACGAUUUUUCUUCAAUAAAUCCGUGAGAGGAGCAGCAAUAUCCGAGUAUCCAAGGAUAAAUCUCCGGUAAUAAUUGGCUAGGCCAAGGAAGGACCGUAAUUCGGGCACCUUCGUUGGACCUUCCCAAUCCCGGAUCGCCUCGACUUUGUCGCUAUCCAUUUGAAUCUGCCCUUGGCUGAUCGUAUGGCCCAAGAAUUGUACUUUCGGCUGUGCAAAAGUGCACUUCUCCCUUUUGACGCCUCGCUCGUUUUCCCGCAGCACAUUAAACACGAUUUGAAGGUGCCUAACGUGCUCUUCCAUUGAGCUACUAUAGACAACAAUGUCGUCCAAGUAUAUGACCACAAAUUGAUCCAAGUAUGGCUGGAAGAUUUUGUUCAUUAGUGUGCAAAACGUGGCUGGUGCGUUGGUCAGUCCAAACGGCAUGACCAGCCACUCGUAGGACCCAUAACGAGUCACACACGUCGUCUUGGCUUCAUCUCCCUCGGCUAUGCGAACUUGAUAAUAGCCCUUCCUCAAAUCCAUCUUUGUGAACACUUUGGCUUGCCCCAGUCGAUCAAACAAAUCAGCUAUCAAAGGAAUAGGGUAAUUGUUUUUCAGGAAUGGGGUAUUUGUUUUUCACCGUGACUUUGUUGAGGGCACGGUAAUCAAUACACAACCGCAACGUCCCUUCCUUCUUCUUUUGAAACAAGACUGGAGCACCAAAGGGUGCCUUGGAGGGUCGGAUAUGGCCAGAUUCCAGCAGCUCCUUGAGUUGUUUUCUAAGUUCCUCGAGCUCCGGAGGCGACAUCCGAUACGGGGCCAUAGCUGGUGGCUUUGCCCCGGGUACCAGCUCGAUCUCGUGAUCAACUUCCCUUCGCGGUGGUAACCGUUUAGGCAGCUCCUUCGGCAUUACGUCUUUGUUCUCUUCAAGAAUAUGUCGGACACAUGAUGGCACUAAUUCAGCUUCUUGGCAGCCACCGAUUUCCAUCAAUGUCGCAAGAAAGGUUGGUUCUCCUUUCUUGAAACCUUUAACAAGCUGCAUGGCCGACAAACGGGUGCCUCUUUGAGCGACCCGAAUAAGUGGAACGAUGCAAGAACCACCUUCAUCGCAAAUGGCAAGUUGGUUGAGACGUGGCGAACUAGACUUACCCCGCUCCACGUCUUCCUUGUCUUCGAAGUAUGGUUUCAAUUUGCUUGCAUGGAAGACGGGAUAGAUCUUUAAAUGCGAUGGCAUGUCCAACUUAUAUGAAAUUUUGCCAACCUUGGCAACAAUCUCGAAUGGACCCUCGUACCUUCGGAUCAAACUUUGAUUGACGCUCCUCAAUGACUUGAAUUGCCUCGGAUUGAGCUUGACCAUCACUUUAUCUCCGAUUCGGUAGUGGACUGGACGGCGGCUACGGUCAGCAAAUUUCUUCAUUUUGCGGGCUGCUUUGUCAAGAUACGACCUUGCCAUAUCGACUUGUUCCUCCCAAGCCUUUGCCAUAUGAUAAGCACCCGGAUUCCUCAUUCCGGCGUUGACCGGUAAGGAUUGAGGAGUGUUUGGUUGCUGCCCCGUUGCAAGCUCGAAUGGACUACGACCCGUGGACUCACUCCGUGUUGCUGCAACCAUCGCUCCCAACUUACUUAACGAAGGACAAGAUCUCGCAAAGUGAGAUGUAUCCCCGCAAAGGUAGCAGCCGCUAUCGCGGUUAGCCACACCUUUCUUCUUCUCCUCGUAGUUCUUGCGGAACGACGAUGGCUGGUUGCGUUCGCCUUUGAACUCACGGUUUUUGUUGGGAAUAAACUUGUCUUUGCCUUUGUCCCCACGAUCUCCCUUGGCAGCAAUGGGCUUGUUCCGACUAUCCUUCGACUUGGCAUAAUCGGCAUGAAAAUCAGUCAAGGAUUCCGCCACUUUGAUGGCCUCAUCCACGGUCUUGACGUUGCGCCUCCUCAAUUCUUGUUUGGCCCAAUUUUGGAGGCCAUCAAGAAAGAAGAAGAGCAAAUCUUCACUGCUGAAACUCGUCACAAGAAGUGAGAGUUUCGUAAACUCCCUCACGUAGUUAUGAAUGGAAGAAGUUUGUUUAAGUUCCCUCAACUUCCGUCGAGCCUCAUCUACAACGUUUUGAGGGUAAAAUUGUUCCUUCAACUCGUCCGUAAACUGAUCCCAAUCAGUUAUGGUGCAAAGACCCCUCUCCAUGUCCACCUUUUUCCUACGCCACCACAACAUUGCGACGUCGCUGAGGUACAUGGUUGCAAUUCGGAUCCUUGCUGCCCCGUCAACAAUCUUGACGUGCUCAAAAUUUGACUCCAAUUGCCAUAUAAAAUUUUCUACGUCUUGAGCGUUCCGUUCACCCUUAAACACGUUGGGUUUGGGAGCCUCAAUACGAGCAUCAUGGUACGCCACGGAACCAUGAUUUCCACCAACACGGGCUGCUUCCAGUUGUUGCUUCAAAUCAGCAACUUCCUCCUGCAAAGCGGACUGCCCAAGCAUUACCUCGGACAGUUUUGCCCCGAACUCCUCAUGUAGCGCUGACAAUGCUUCCGUGAGCUUGAGUUCCAAGCUGGUCAGCCCCUCUUUGUGCUCUUCAUUUUGCUCGGACAAGUCGGCUUUGACUUCGUCCAGCCCUUCAAGAGCAGCAGCCUCAAGGGUACCAACGUUGGACUCAAGAGUCUUGAAGCGAUGGCCCCAAACCGCUAGGCCAGCCUCCGUGCUAACGAUUCGCUCAUCGAGAGAGCCGGAUGCUGAACCUUCUCCAUCUUCCACGUUAGUGACAGCCUCACUAACUGGAAGUUGGGCCUCAUCCUUGUUCCUACUCUUGUCACGUUUUCGGGUCUUGGUUUUGCCCAAGUUGUCUCCGCCGUGAACCUCCUCGUCGCCGUCGUAUGCCAUGUUCAAAGUCUGCUCUGAUACCACUUUGUCACGGGCCAAAUUUUAGCCGCGUGCGGACAACUUAACACUCGCGAUGUCGAUGCUAAACUCAGUCCUAAACUUACUCUAAAUUUCGUCCCCAAGAACCUUUGAACGCUCACACGAACUCACAAGGAAAUAGCAAGAAAGACACUCGGUUUUGGGAGGCCCGAAGAGCCAAUUUUCAGAUUAUAUUUCUUGAAUAUUUGAAGUGUAUGAUCUGCCCAAGAGGCCUUUACAAGAUAUAUAUAGUGCCCCUUAGUCAAGGAUACAAUAAAUGCUUAGUCAACAUUACCCCAUUUGGGCAUGCAAGCCAUGAACUAGUAGAAAAGCAUUUGUCUAGUAUGCUGUUUUUGUAGAGCAGCCAUUGCCCAGCUGGUCAAGGCUUCAAAGCCCCAUAAAUGUUGACCCGAGCUUGUAUUUUGACCUCCCAAAG